rnacentral:rRNA from 1 species
GAUGAACGCUGGCGGCGUGCCUAAUACAUGCAAGUCGAGCGAACAGACGAGGAGCUUGCUCCUCUGACGUUAGCGGCGGACGGGUGAGUAACACGUGGAUAACCUACCUAUAAGACUGGGAUAACUUCGGGAAACCGGAGCUAAUACCGGAUAAUAUAUUGAACCGCAUGGUUCAAUAGUGAAAGACGGUUUUGCUGUCACUUAUCGAUGGAUCCGCGCCGCAUUAGCUAGUUGGUAAGGUAACGGCUUACCAAGGCAACGAUGCGUUGCCGACCUGAGAGGGUGGUCGGCCACACUGGAACUGAGACGCGGUCCAGGCUCCUACGGGAGGCAGCAGUAGGGAAUCUUCCGCAAUGGGCGAAAGCCUGACGGAGCAACGCCGCGUGAGUGAUGAAGGUCUUCGGAUCGUAAAACUCUGUUAUUAGGGAAGAACAAAUGUGUAAGUAACUAUGCACGUCUUGACGGUACCUAAUCAGAAAGCCACGGCUAACUACGUG